rnacentral:tRNA from 1 species
GGCUCUCUUGCUCAGUUCGUAGAGCAAAGCGUGAGCGUCACCCGCUCUUAAUCAGUGGGUCGAGAGUUCGAGCCUCUCCGGGGUCACAA